rnacentral:rRNA from 1 species
GACGAACGCUGGCGGCGUGCUUAACACAUGCAAGUCGAACGCUGAAGCUUGGUGCUUGCACUGGGUGGAUGAGUGGCGAACGGGUGAGUAAUACGUGAGUAACCUGCCCUUGACUCUGGGAUAAGCCUGGGAAACUGGGUCUAAUACUGGAUAUGACAUGCCACUGCAUGGUGGUGUGUGGAAAGGGUUUUACUGGUUUUGGAUGGGCUCACGGCCUAUCAGCUUGUUGGUGGGGUAAUGGCCUACCAAGGCGACGACGGGUAGCCGGCCUGAGAGGGUGACCGGCCACACUGGGACUGAGACACGGCACAGACUCCUACGGGAGGCAGCAGUGGGGAAUAUUGCACAAUGGGAGGAAGCCUGAUGCAGCGACGCCGCGUGGGGGAUGACGGCCUUCGGGUUGUAAACCUCUUUCAGCACGGAAGAAGCGAGAGUGACGGUACGUGCAGAAGAAGCGCCGGCUAACUACGUG